rnacentral:rRNA from 1 species
GAUGAACGCUGGCGGCGUGCCUAAUACAUGCAAGUCGAGCGAACGGACGAGAAGCUUGCUUCUCUGAUGUUAGCGGCGGACGGGUGAGUAACACGUGGAUAACCUACCUAUAAGACUGGGAUAACUUCGGGAAACCGGAGCUAAUACCGGAUGAUAUUUUGAACCGCAUGGUUCAAAAGUGAAAGACGGUCUUGCUGUCACUUAUAGAUGGAUCCGCGCUGCAUUAGCUAGUUGGUAAGGUAACGGCUUACCAAGGCAACGAUGCAUAGCCGACCUGAGAGGGUGAUCGGCCACACUGGAACUGAGACACGGUCCAGACUCCUACGGGAGGAAGCAGUAGGGAAUCUUCCGCAAUGGGCGAAAGCCUGACGGGGCAACGCCGCGUGAGUGAUGAAGGUCUUCGGAUCGUAAAACUCUGUUAUUAGGGAAGAACAUAUGUGUAAGUAACUGUGCACAUCUUGACGGUACCUAAUCAGAAAGCCACGGCUAACUACGUG